rnacentral:rRNA from 1 species
AGAGUUUGAUCCUGGCUCAGACAACGCUGGCGGCAUGCCUAACACAUGCAAGUCGAACGAGACCUUCGGGUCUAGUGGCGCACGGGUGCGUAACGCGUGGGAAUCUGCCCCUACGGUUCGGAACAACAGUUAGAAAUGACUGCUAAUACCGGAUAAUGACGAAAGUCCAAAGAUUUAUCGCCGAGGGAUGAGCCCGCGUAGGAUUAGCUUGUUGGUGGGGUAAUGGCCCACCAAGGCGACGAUCCUUAGCUGGUCUGAGAGGAUGAUCAGCCACACUGGGACUGAGACACGGCCCAGACUCCUACGGGAGGCAGCAGUGGGGAAUAUUGGACAAUGGGCGAAAGCCUGAUCCAGCAAUGCCGCGUGAGUGAUGAAGGCCUUAGGGUUGUAAAGCUCUUUUACCAGGGAUGAUAAUGACAGUACCUGGAGAAUAAGCUCCGGCUAACUCCGUG